rnacentral:rRNA from 1 species
GGGCUCACACAAGCGGUGGAUGAUGUGGCUUAAUUCGAGGCAACGCGAAGAACCUUAUCCUGGACUUGACAUGCUUGGAUGGCUCGCCCGAAAGGGAUGAGUCUGCCUUCGGGUGAAACUUGCACAGGUGCUGCAUGGCUGUCGUCAGCUCGUGUCGUGAGACGUCGCGUUAAGUCGCUUAACGAGCGCAACCCUUGUCCUUAGUUGCCAGCACGUAAUGGUGGGGACUCUAAGGAGACCGCCGGUGUCAAACCGGAGGAAGGCGGGGACGACGUCAAGUCAUCAUGGCCUUUAUGUUCAGGGCUGCACACGUCAUACAAUGCAACAUACAAAGGGCAGCUAACCCGCGAGGGGGCGCUAAUCUCAAAAAGUGUUGCUCAGUUCGGAUUGCAGGCUGCAACUCGCCUGCAUG